UAUGGUGAAAUCACGCUGGAAACACCGGUUCUCGUUCGAUCACCGAAGUUAAGCGAUGUUGAGCCCGAUCAUUAUUUACAUGGGGGACAACUUGGGAACACCAAGUACUGUAAG